UUAGAUUCUUAAAAUUUAACAGAGGUGAAAAAAUGGCUUUCUCAAAAUUAAAGGCAAUAAGUUUUAUUCCAUCUAUCCUUGGGGGGAAAAUAGUUAUUUUGCUAUGAGAAAAAAGGUUCAUUCGAAAGUCAAAUCUCUCUCCCUCUCUCGCUUUCUCUUCACUGCAUUUAUUUUUUAAAUAUAAAUAUCGAUUGUUUCUCUCUGAAAAGGUGAUUUCGAGAAAUGAAUGAGGCUAUCUUACAUAUCGAAGAGAUUGGUGAUUCAAAUGCCGCAGAGUUUCACCAGCUUUGCGACGCUCAAUAUGAUUCCUCAGUUUUCGGAGUUGGAGGGAUCUGUAAGGCUUUAAUUGGUCUGGAAAUCACCGCCACGAGGUGUAAACAUUAAUUAAUCUGGACGACUUAUAAUAUGUUGUUUUGUUGUGAGAUUAAUUAAGGCUUAUGAUUACAGGUUCGACAUUAUAUUUAACCGACUGACAAGAAUUAAGAUGAAUGGAAUGUCGGAGAAGGCUUAUACCAGAUCCUUUAAUUUGCUUUACUUUUUUUUGUUGUUUCAUGUUGAUUUUAAUCUGAUGUGGAUUGUGUUAUUGAUAAGAAUAUGUUGCGGUUUGAUGUGGAUUGUGGUUUGAUAAGAAUAUGGGUCUAUUAGGCUUAUUCAAUUUGCCUGAAAGGGGUUGUGAGAGGGCUUAAAGCAAAGUCUUUUAUUUGAAAUUUCUAAUAUUUUACCAGUUUUUAUUUAGAAAGUUUAAAUUAUGUAUAUUCUGUUUAGAACAGAUUGAUUGAGCAUAUUGAUGACAUUUUCUACUUGUUAGUAGAAAUUCUUCUUCGAAGGGAAUCCCUAAAGUCAAGGAUUUGGCUUGGCCUAUCUUUAGAAGAUGUUGUGCUGUUCAAAUUUAUCUUAUUGGUAUUGGUGUGAUAAGAUUUCAUUCAAAUGUUAUUGGCCAGAAAGACACCUUCAAUGGAAUUCAUCGAUUCUUCUAGGAAAGAAGAGCAACAUACUAACUUGCAUUCACUCUUUGCUUUACAAUAUUCAAUUGCUAAUAAGUAUUGAUGUAUGCUAUGGAGGUCUAAUACCAUUGAGGUUGAGCAGAGAAAGUGGUCCUGUGAUGUGUGAAGAUGAAGCUAACAAAGCUAUGGUGGAAGAAGAUCAUGACAAGGGCAAUGGAAUAAUUGAAGGUCUCUAUCAGUAUAAUUUUCAGAAAGUGAGAAUCACCAGCUGGUUACCAUAUUGAUAAUCAUUGGAUUAUUUCUGUUGAGCUGAGUGAACAUUGCGUGAAGCAUGUCGCGUGCCCAGUUCCAACAUAUAGAGGCAACAAAGAUGAUAAUAAUGCAGAUGAGAUUGCUUAUGCUCAGGUGGUUGAUGCUCAGCACCAAGACCAAUUUCAUUUUUUCGUCUAAAUUGAAUUGGGUUUUUGGUUUCUUAGUUUCAAACUGUGUAAACACCUGGCAUAUGAAACCAAGUGUUCUUUUCUUGGUAAGAACAUGUGUUCUGUGUGUUUUUUUCUUUUCUUAUUUAAUAAUUGCAGAUCUUAUGGAAGCCCUUAAAAUAACAGUAUUUAGUAUAUGAUUAAUGUCAAUGAUCAUAUUCUGUCA